rnacentral:rRNA from 1 species
CUAGCUGUAAACGAUGGGUACUAGGUGUAGGGGUUUCGAUACCUCUGUGCCGCAGUUAACGCAGUAAGUACCCCGCCUGGGGAGUACGUGCGCAAGCAUGAAACUCAAAGGAAUUGACGGGGGCCCGCACAAGCGGUGGAGCAUGUGGUUUAAUUCGAAGCAACGCGAAGAACCUUACCAGGGCUUGACAUCCCCUGACCGCCAUGGAAACAUGGCUUCCCUUCGGGGCAGGGAGACAGGUGG